AUGUUGUCGAGGGCGUUUGGUAGUUACAAGAGCAUUGUCCCGGCAGAUCUCUCCGCGCCGGCUUUAUGCCGCGCGUUUGCUACCCUUUUGCAGUUCGAUAGGAAUCAUCAGGCUCACCAGCUACAUGGUCAGCCAGUCUCACCUGAUGGUUUUCCCCAAGAGCAUAGCAGGGGCGUUCCGUCAGCCUGUAUGUUUGAACCAACCGGUACUGUUUGUGGAAGCUUUGAUCAAAAGUUGGCCACACUGAGGAGCAUUGGGGAUUGUGUCAGUGAAUAUGAGCUCAGUGUGCUGUUGAAGAAGAUACCCGUCCCUGUUUGUUAUGUUUGGUGUGAUCCCUCCCCCUGGAUGCACAUAACCCAGGGGAUCUCAAUGACAAAUAAUGUUAAUAAGAUGGUUAAAGCUGGUUUCGAAGUUAAACUAUUGAUGGCAGAUUGGUUUGCUCGAAUGAAGCCUCACAUCACGAGGAAGGUUGGUAGUGAUCUAAGUAAUAUUCAGACUAUUGGCCGGUAUAAUAUUGAGGUGUGGAAAGCAAUUGGCAUGAACCUUGGUGGGGUUGAGGUCGUGCAGUUGUCGGAUAAAAUAAGUUGCAAAACAGAUGAAUACUGGUCACUUGCAAUGGAUAUUGCAAGAAAAAGCGAUCUGAGCAGAGUAAAGAGUUGGCUUCGUGUUUAUGCAUCAAAAGAUCCAAGGUAUCUUUAUGUUCAUAUUAUUGAAUUGUUUAAGUUUAUGUUUUCACAUGCUUGUUCCUUUUUUUUACUAAGCAGGGGUUGUCAAGGAAGUAUUGAUCCUUAUAUGUCCAGAGAAUUUUCAGCUGCUGAAAUAGUUAAUCCUUGCUUGCAGAGCGCUGGUAUAUUAUUGUAG
rnacentral:rRNA from 1 species